UGCGCCUACGGGGGGCAGCAGUGAGGAAUAUUGGUCAAUGGGCGGAAGCCUGAACCAGCCAAGUCGCGUGAGGGAAUAAGGCCCUACGGGUCGUAAACCUCUUUUGCCGGGGAGCAAGGGCCGGGACGCGUCCCGGCCCGGAGAGUACCCGGAGAAAAAGCAUCGGCUAACUCCGUGCCAGCAGCCGCGGUAAUACGGAGGAUGCGAGCGUUAUCCGGAUUUAUUGGUUUUAAAGGGUGCUUAGGCGUGCUUUUCAGU
rnacentral:rRNA from 1 species